CUGUCAGGUGCAGCACAGCACCCACACACCUGGCAGUGCUGGUAAUCCCUGGUCCUGGUGCAUGUCUCUGUUGCCUGGGUAGAGAGAAUGGAUGCAGUAAGGGUCUCUGGUGGGAUGGAGGCACAGGAACCGGGCUGGAGCACAUCCGGAGAGCUGGUGGUGUGAGAGCAUUGGUGCCCAAGGUUCUGCAACUGAGCAGUUGUGAUGGCAGUAAGAGCAGCAGUACACUGACAUCAGUGCAUCGCCGGCGCACAGAGAGACGCACAACUGUGAAAUGAGGCGUCUGCAGGCAGCGCCGUGCCUGGCUCUCCCCACAGCUUUAUCUGCAGGGCUGAUGGAGCUCAGCAUUGAUGAUGAGGCUCACAGGCAUCCUCAGCUGGCAGUACGAGGGCACUGUGCAAGAUAUGCUGAGGACAGCCAGAUGAGCAUCCCCAGACUGAGGAAGAGCUCUCAGGUGUGCUGCUGGCUUUCUUGGCUGUUUGUUGGCUUUGCUUCUGUUCUGAACAUGGGCAGCCUUGGUUCCUGUAGAAUCAGGGAGCAAUGGUGUGUGGGUAGUGCCGUCCCCCUGGAGUUCUGGGAGACACACACUGAUGCUGAAACAAGAGCCCUCCCUUAGCCUUCAGGCUUCUGCUGGAGCCACAUGCCUGGUGACCAGAGCCAGAUCCUGAAAGAUUCCUGUGGAUCAAGGUCUGGUGGUGGCAGAAGAGGAAGCAAGGGCAUUACCUUCUGCAUGAUGGUCAGCUUAUGGGACAGGCAUAUUUUGACCUACACUGCGAUGUUAGUGAGGUGAGGCAUCGCUGGCCAUGCACUGGUUCAUCAGCAGAUGGGGCAUCUCCAAAUUGUCCCUAUUGCAUGCGGUGUUGUGGUGGGAACUGGUUUGAUCUCAACACCUUUCUGCAGCAGUGACGUCCAGCGCUGAAUUACAUGUUCAAGGCUGUGUGCCUUCCCUUCUCUCAUAGGCUAUUCAAAAAUGGAUCGGGGAUAGUGAGAUUUUUUUUUUUCCCCAUUUUUGUGGUGCUCUCCUCCAUUAAUUUCCUGGUUGUAGUACAUUACUCAUGGAUAAUUAAGAGUGAGCUAUUAAUACAACAUUUAAUAUUCAAGUGCAGUGAAGAGGAGAGAACAAUAAGUCAAAGAAUCAUAUACUACAAGACAUUUUGGUUUGGUGAUGAAAUUUUUUUGCUGGCUUUGGCUAUCAGAGCAUAGUGCUGCUUCUAUUUAAGUAUGGUCGUGAGAACUUCAUUUAUUGAUAGAAUACAAAUAGGACACUAAAUCAGGGGAAGUGAAUUUGAAUUGCUGGCCAUAUAUACAAUUACGAAUGAGAUUGGCUACUUCUAUCUAGUGUAUCUUAAGUUAGGAGAAUUAUGUUAGAGAUGGCUAAAGAGAGCUUAGAGUGUCUUAAAAUUAAUGAGAUUGAAGUCUGUCUAGGAGAAGAAAUUAAUGCUAAAAUGCAGCUCUAGCAUUAGAGACUGUUUUAAAGAAGUGGUCGUGCUUUGCUCAGAUGGAGAAAUGCUGGGCUUGUAGGCUGUGCACCUAAUAGUGUCAAAUAAAUGUGUUUCAGCCUUCAGUGCUUCUGUUUGCCCCAUCAUCUUCACACAGUGGGAAUGAGUUCAUUGCCUGUA